GACGAACGCUGGCGGCGUGCUUAACACAUGCAAGUCGAACGAUGAAGCUAGAGCUUGCUCUGGUGGAUUAGUGGCGAACGGGUGAGUAACACGUGAGUAACCUGCCCCGAACUCUGGGAUAACUGCUGGAAACGGUAGCUAAUACCGGAUAUGACCAAUGAAGGCAUCUUCUGUUGGUGGAAAGAAUUUCGGUUCGGGAUGGACUCGCGGCCUAUCAGCUUGUUGGUGAGGUAACGGCUCACCAAGGCGACGACGGGUAGCCGGCCUGAGAGGGUGACCGGCCACACUGGGACUGAGAAACGGCCCAGACUCCUACGGGAGGCAGCAGUGGGGAAUAUUGCACAAUGGGCGCAAGCCCGAUGCAGCAACGCCGCGUGAGGGAUGACGGCCUUCGGGUUGUAAACCUCUUUUAGUAGGGAAGAAGCGAAAGUGACGGUACCUGCAGAAAAAGCACCGGCUAACUACGUGCCAGCCGCCGCGGUAA
rnacentral:rRNA from 1 species